GCUUUCAUUAAAAGGAAAACAAGUUAAAAAUACACACUACUGUGGCGUCGUAGAUAAUACUAGUAUAUUCCGUUGUGGAGGUCUAAUUUUUUUUUAGAGAAUAUUUUUGCGAUUUUACUGAUAUGUCGAAAAUGCCGAAUUUCGAGCUAUGGUGGUCUUGUUUUAAAGGUGCAAGGUAUUCGGUUAUGUUUUUCCGUUUUCCCGCUGCUUUAUCCAAAUCUGAGGUGGCUUUUCGUCAAAGAAUAACUAGUGUAGGUUAUAGUUUCGCACUUAGAACUCUAACUUCCAGCAUUACCAGAUUUGGUCCAGCAAGUAGAAAAUGCCUUGUAAAACUGUUUUAAAACUUCCUAAAAUCAACUCGUACACACAUUGUAAACGUCUGUAAAUACGCUAUCGGGUCGGUCGCCAUUCCGAUCGUAUUUGACUGUAAAAUAAUUUAUACAUGUGUAUUAAAAUAAAUUUUUAAUGGCCGAGCAAAGUAAAAAUUAUUAAUCGACCGAAUAGCACUUACAGGUAUGCACACGACGCACCCAUCAUCGUGCCCCCGCGGAUCACUAGGUUCGUGACGUUGCGCGAGGUGAUGCAUGUCGAACUAUGAUAUUGGAUAACGUAAUAUUAUAUUAAAACCGUCGCUGGCAUUACGAGGAGAAAUUAUUUAUCUCGCCCAAGACGUACGUACUUAUCGAAAAAUCUCGAAAUCAGAAUAGUAUUGUCGUUUCGGUUUUGAGAUAGUCUACAAUGUACGUGAUAUU